rnacentral:rRNA from 1 species
GCAAGUCGAACGCGAAAGUACCCUUCGGGGUGCGAGUAGAGUGGCGCACGGGUGAGUAACGCGUAGAUAAUCUACCUCCAUAUCUGGGAUAACCACUCGAAAGGGUGGCUAAUACCGGAUACCCUUUAUCGGUAGCGAUACUGAUAGAGGAAAGGUGACCUCUCGAUGAAGUUGCCGUAUGGAGAUGAGUCUGCGUACCAUUAGCUAGUAGGUAAGGUAACGGCUUACCUAGGCAACGAUGGUUAGCGGGUCUGAGAGGAUGAUC